rnacentral:lncRNA from 1 species
CACAAAUUAAAAUUGGCUUGCUAGAGCCCGCAAUUGUUUUUCAGCCCACUCACUCAACAAUUACACAAUCUUGACAAAAUCCCAGGUUGCAAAAAAUUAUAUUGUCAAACUCAUACAUCCAGGUAGCAAUAUACAUCACGCUACAUCUAAGUCACAUGUCCAAAAUGACAAAGAACCAUAGCCAUUUCAACAUCUUGAAUAUUCAUCAAACUAACAAAAAGAGUUGUAGCUACCCCUAAACAUUACUGAGGCUUUUCACUUUACUAAGACAUCCUCCAUACCACACUAUUAACCAAUCUGAAAGAAGCAAAUGGUAGCCAAAUUAGUCAAAGAUAUAAAGAUUAGAGUUAGCUCUAGGUUCAUGCAUAUCUAUUGGACAGAACCAAGCUCCCUGGUCAACAUAUAACAAUUAAUGAAAUAAAUCUAUCCAUAAAAGUAAUACUACUACUAGGAUGUACCCUGAAAAGCUCCCUGUUCAUAAUUUUAAAAUAUUGUCCAUUUAUGUGACACUGAGACUGUACAGCAUUACAGAACCAUAGUAUCUUAACUAUAUAGAAAAGCCAAUAAACAGUAGAAAUAGUUGGUCAAUGAAGGGGUUACUUGAGGCUUGCAGAUGGAGUGAGUAAAAAACGUGCUCUUAACAUAAACCUGCAACCAUGGCACCAGGAUAGCUGAUCAAAACAUUGACAACUACCAAGCAAAUGUCAUCCUGUUUUCUAGAAGAAAAAAAUAUAACAACACCACGAGACAUUCUUCUACAGUUAAUAGAUGAAUGUCAGAAGACCAAAUUUUCACAAGAGUAGAACAUGCUACGGUACUGUGAGAGCGAGUUGAAGAGGCCAAGGCUAGCUCCCCCAUGGUCGGCUAGCCACCGCCGCCGGCCGCUGGCCGUCGUCGGCCACCCACCUCCCCCACCCACCCCAGCCUCCUCCUUCCCUCGUCCCCGCGGCUCCUCCAGUCGGUCUCCGACCUGCUCCUCCCGGCGAUCGGAGUCCUUGCUGGUCCAACUUUGGUUGUUUCCUCGACGUCAGUUCCCUCCACACAGAUCUCUUCGUCCGAAUGGGAGGCCUCUCAGAUCUCUGCUUCGCUCAUGGUUUAGAAUUUGAAAGAGUGGUGGAUCGCUGUUUCAAAUGCUCGGUGAGUCCUACACCUCUCAGCUCCCCCUCUAAUUUCCAUCUGCUCCUCAGCUCUGGCCGAUCUGCCAUUCGUUUGAAUGAAGAUUCAGUUGCUCUGAUUCUCCAAGCCUGUUUGGGGGGAGUUGCAAAGGAUUUCAAUGUUUGCCAUCUCUCGGGUUGGAUGUUCAAAUUCACUGUUUCUUGCAAAAAAAUGGGUCUUAUGGUUUACAAGCUUAAUAACUUCUCCUACAAAUCUUAUUCUCUCUUCUUUGCCCUGUGGCGAGAAGGGGGACCAAAUUGGAGAAAGCAAUACGAUCUGUUUUGCAAAGAACAGGAAGAUGAGUGGUUUUUAAUCGGUGCCAAAGGCAAAAUAAGAAGAGGUCCAGCAGCCUCGGAUAGAAAGAGCUAUGCUGACAUUGUUCGAUCUUCGUCUCGUCAAGCUCCGUAUGUUUUCAAGAGACUAUCCUACCCUUCGGACUACAACAAAAACUUUGAAUCUCAAUUUUUUCGUGGCCCUAAUCCCAACUCGUCCUCCAUGUCCGCCACGGCUCCCAAUCAAGAGUGUGUUCGUCGCUGGAUCAUCAAGGCUCCGCCUGAUUCUUGGGAGCGUUCUCAGUCUUUGAAAACAGUCAUAACUGCCAAGGCGCAUUCCUUGGCUCGCCCACUUUCAAAAUCUCAUCCGCUGCCUCCUCCUGGGCCGACCCGUCCCGGUGGGCGUGAUGGCCUUUGCCGCAGAUGUCUUGGGCCUGGGCACUCAAGGAAGGAGUGCACCAAUUUGGUAAGAUGCCUGAUAUGCUAUAAUUACGGGCAUACCUCCCGGUCCUGUCUCUCCAAAAUCCACGCCAAACGCCGUUACCGGGUGGUUUCCCGUUCGGAAGCUGGAGGGUCGCUGGGGAACGAUUUAUUCCCGAGCACAUCGCCUCCCCUCGUUCCUUCCGUCCCCCCCCUUUCCACUGUGCCUGCUCCAGUCUCCGAAAACCCCACUCCGCCCUCCAUGGCGAAUUGGCCAUGUGAUCCAGUACCGCACCUGCCUCCAGGCUUCUCCAUCCAAGAACCACCCCUCCGCAAUGGAAUUCGCCAUGAGGUCUUCGUCACGGGUUGCUACUCGCUCUACAAUGAAGACUUGGCGAUCAUCAAGCUGCAGCCUCCAGUGAGCGGGGAUGACUUCGGCGAAGUCAAGACUGCACUCAGGUCAUUCUUUCAGGAUGUCCAUCAGGUUCGCAUCUCUGAGAUCCAGCACUCUGCUCUAGGUGACGCUUAUGUCAGAUUCAGAAGUGCAUUAGAUAGAGAAAGGUUCCUAGGUCCAGUUUUUCCUUUGGGUAACUAUGCUAUGAGAGUUAUCAAACAUGAUGAAGCGGAUAAUGCACGUAGCUUUGAUCUUGAUAGAGAAGCUUGGGUUAUGCUAGUUGGUUUCCCAGAGGAUCUUAAGGACUCUGUUAAUAUUGCUAAGGUUGUCUCUGGUUUUGGUAUUUUGGUGCAAUGGCAUGAACCUGAUAAUCUAGCAAGAGUAGUUGCAAAGGUUUACUUGAAUGAUGAUGCUAAAAUCCCAGAAUCUGUUAAAGUUAAUGCUGGCUUACCCCAAAAGGGCAGAUCCUGGACUGUCCCCUGCUACAUUCUGAAAAGACAACAGGUAUCAGAAGUGCAAGAUGAGGAGGCCUUCAUCAACUUUGGACCAUUGCAUCCUCUGCCGGCUCCCCCUCCUCACUGGAUGGGGCCCGUCCCACCUGCUGACCCAAACACCACUCCCAGAGGAUCCAACGUGGGACCUAAUGCUCACCCCUUUGGAAGUGAUUCAGGUAAUAGGUGGCAACAGCAGCUUGCACCAGUCGAUGAUGAAGGUAUCAAUCAGAGGGUUCAGAACUUGGCUGAGAUUGCCAAUGCUACAUCUAAGAUCGUGUCAGAGAAGGGGACAGAGAAUGUCGAGAUUCCUCUUGAUGUUGCUCCUAAUAUCAAGUCAGUGGUCAUUGGCCCCUCCAAGGCGCAAGGCAAUACACAUACAAGUGAUCCACUGAUCCCUGUGAUCUCAUCUCUCAUCAGGAAGGUAAUCUCUUAUAUACACAAGAAUCAUCACUUCCAAAUCUUUAAGAAUGUCUCCAAUCUUGUUGUUGAUCAUAAUACCCUGAUCCCAUCAUACAUAUCGGACACACCAUUGCUCAUUCAUCUAGCUUUCAUCCUGUUUCCACAGCUCGGUGACAAUACCCUGGAAAAGAUAGCUCUUGUAACACCCUAGGUGUUAAGCAUGCACUUAGUCUUAUCAAAGUCAUGCAUAAGCAUUCCCAUCAAGCAUAAGCAUCAUGAGCAUGUCAUUCUUUUCAAAAUAUGAUUUUAUGUGCUUCAUUUCAUGAGUUUUAAAUAUGCUAAAAAUAUGAUGCUUGCUUCUAAAAAUGUGAAAUAUUCAAACUAGGUUGAUUUAUGUGUAAGAAGAAUUAAGAACAUUUUUGUGUAAUUUUUGGAGCUAUAGAAUUUGAGAAAUGGAAUUUAUACAAAAUAUCCAAAAUGAAUUUAUUUAAAAACCUAGAACUAGGUUUUAAUUUGUAAUUCAAAUUCUACUUAGAAUUUGGUUUUGCUUAUUAAAACAAAGUUGUAGAAAUUUUGUUUUGGAACAACUUUACUUUUGGGAGAAAAUGGUGAAAAUGAUUGGAAAAUGGUCAAAAUGAAUUUGGAAGAGCAUUUAAGAAAAGAAAUUCAAAAAAAAGGGAAAAGGGGGCGCUAGUAGGCCGCGGCCUCACUUCUGGCCCGCUGGCCGAAGCCGGCCCGGCCCGCCCGCGCCUUCCCCUUCCCCUUCCCCUUCCCCUUCCCCGCGCUCGCGCCCGCGUCCGCGCGCGGACGGCCUCGCCGUGCCGCCGUGGCGCGCCGGCAGAGCCUGGCCGCCGCGUGGCGGGCAUGCGACGGCGUGGAGAAGCCCUGGUCGGCCACCAGGAGCCCCCGGUCGCGUCCGCCGAAGCCCCCGCUCCCAUUUGCGCCCUCCAGCUCGCGCUCUCGCCCCUCUGCUCGCUCUCGCGCAGCACUCGCCGCUACGCCGCACGCCAUAGCCGCCGACGGCUCGGAGCUCCUCUCCCGGCCAGCUCCGGCCCUCUCCUUCCUCUUCGCGACCACCACCGGCUCCGCCUCGUCCUCCCGCGUCGCGUGCUUGCGCUCUUCCGCGCUCGGUAAGCCCCGCGUGCCCGCUAGAGCUCACCGGAGUGAGUCGGAGCUCCGACGACCUCUCGGUUCGUACGGUUCUCCCUCUCCUCUCUGUCUCUGCUUACGUUCGAAGGUGCGUUGGAUCCGUCUUGGCCUUGCGCACCUUUUGCGUCGUUAGCUUACGCUCUACCGCCGUGAAACGGCCGGACCACGGCGAGCAGCGCCGCCGCGUCCGCCAUUCGCGACGGCGAGGUAGUUCCAGUGCUCGUCCGGUGCCAAAGAGGGUACGGUUGGACUCGUCUCGUUCUCGCGAAGCCGUAGGUGCUCUCGGUGUCGCCGGAAACCUCACCGGCGGCGAGAUUCCGGCUGAUCCGUGGCCGCGGAAUCACGGGGUGGAUGACAAGUGGGGUCAUCUGACCCGCGUGUCCCACCUGUCAGUGAGUCCGAGGGUUUGAACCCGGGUGCGCUUAGCGUUUUAGGUUGUUUUCCGUUUUAAAAGUAUUUUCAGAAAAUGGGUUAUGUAUUCAAAAAUCCAUAUCUUGAGGAAUAUAGCUCCAAAAAUUGUGAAAUAAAUUUUGGUGUGUUCCCUGUUUCCAGAUCUAUAGCCUAGUAUGUUUGCAUGUCAUGUUUAAGUAACUUUUCUGUAUGAAUAUACUUAAUCCAUGUUUUUGCUAAACUUGGAAAAUGCACAAUAAUUAAAAUAUGACUCAGAAAAAUAUGAAACUUGUUUUAUGGGCUUUGCAUGUAUGUUUACUCACUGGAAAAAUAUGUCUACAUAUUAUUUGGUGUAUAAAUGAAUUUAUGGUAAUUUAAAUGCUUGCAUGGCAGUGAUUUAUGAUUUUUAAUAAUUAAUUGGAUCAUGCAAUAAAUCUGGAAAAUUUUGUGGGUGUUUCUUAUGAUAUUAGACAAAUUGUAAAAAUAUGAAAUCUGUUGUUUGACACUUAUAUCACAGUAGAGUGAUUAUACUUACCCUAUGAAUUAAUCUUGUGAUUUUUGUGGCUCAAAAUAAGUAUCCAAAAAUUAUGAAAAAUUUACAGUAGACUUUAUGCUUAGCUGGUAGUCUCCUGUAAUUUUUAUGGAAAUUAUUGAUGAACAGAAUUGCAUGUGAUUUUUAAUGGGCCUAGAAAUGAAUAAAGAAAAUUAUAAAUUGUUGUAUAUAUAGGUUGGAUGGAAUAAGUUGGGUUUGGUGUAUCUUUGAAGCAUCAUGUGGGUUGCUGGUUGUAUUUGAAAAAUAAUUAUAGAAGAGAAUGCAAUAGAUGUUUGAUUCAGUUAAUUGCUCUUGGAGGUUGUUGACUACCUUGUAAUGAGCAUGACCAAGCAUAUCACUUAUGCAUCAUGUCAUGACUCCUUUAGUACCUUCUCAUACAAGCAUCCACUCGGGCAUCUCGCACUCCACUCAUAAGCACACCUGCAUCAUACAGGCUCGCAGGAGAAUGAAGUGGGACCCGAGGAGCCAGAGGAGAUUCAGAAGCAGGAACCUCCGGAAGCACAGGAACCCGGAGAGGAACUGCAGGAGUGUGCAGAUCACCGACCCAGCACAUUUGAGAAAGGCAAGCCCCAGAGCAUUCUAAAUCUCCCUAUUCUCGCUAACUUAUACAAAGCACUAUACUUGUUCUACUAUAUUGCAUUUAAGUGAUAGGAAUUGCUUGAUACCGUUGAUGCAUAUGUACUCCUUGUUACCCUUACUUGUUCACCUACCUUGUCCUAUGUAGAUAGGCACGGAGUCUAUGCUUAGCUUGCUUAGUCCGGUAGAAGUCGGGUGAUUUCCUGUCACCUGCGAGAUAUAGGUGGUUACCUGCUUGAUUAAGCAUGGAUUGCUUGGGGAAAAGAAUAACCAAGUGUGGAAUGUAACUGGAGACCGGGCAGGGUCUUAUAGUGGGUUGACCAUAGUGCCCCUGCCUGUGUCGAUUAAGGACCGAUCGUUGACGGCCCUCUUGUCAUGUUGAACGCAUGCCCCACCUUUAGCUGGAAGGAUAAGUCGUUCCGACCGCGAAGCCUGAGCACUAUCCGGGCCGGGAAUCGGCCCGAUGUACGCGCUGUAUUGGUGAUGGUUGAGGAGAACGACGAGGGCGCGGCGCGCAACCUUGGUAUACCUUGGAUACCUUGGUCGCCGGAACGGUCCUCGGGUAUGGGCGGUGCCUGUCGAACCCGCGAAUUGGUCCUGGAUAGUGCAAUACGGUGACCUGUAGCUCACUUGAUCAGUGAGUGUGGUUUGUGUGGGGAAUAAACUCGCCAGCUGGUUAGAAAUCGAUUCGAAUCGCCAUCGCUCCUGGAUAGUGAGCACUUGACAUGAGCCCUGUCCUCGUAGUAAGGACUAUGGAACACUUGGGUUAUAAUGAUGAAUGGUUAUAAGAAAUGCUAUGAUGAGGUACUAUCAUAGUCUUAUACUUGCUUGUAAUAGUGCAGGUGCAAACCUAGAUGAUAGGUAAUGAUACUUUCAACUUGAGCAAAUUAAAAGAAGAAAGACUUAUGUAGGUUAUGAUAAUAAAAUCCUGCGGUUUUGCAAAGUGGUUGUCAGCUACCCCACUAUAUAGCCUUCAUGAUCCUUGAUGAGUCUUUAUUUUAAGUUUAUGACGGGUAAGUCUAGCUGAGUACCUUCUCGUACUCAGGGUUCUACUCCCAUGUUGUUUUGCAGAUGGUCAAAUGUACUUUGGUUAUUGCAUCCUCUGUCUGUACCCAGCCAUGGGUGAUGACUAGACCAAGGGCGAUGGUCACUCCAUCUCUUCUUUUGCUUUGGUGGGAAUGACCAAACUAUGGCACUGUAUCAGACUAAGUGCGUGUGUUGUAUUUUCGAACUAUGAAGCUUCCGCUACUUGAAGAACUUGGUUUGUAAUAACUUUAAGUACUCCGAUGUAUUUUAUAAACGUUGUAACCUGGGUGUAUUUGUGGAUGGCGACCGCUAAACUUAUUACGAUCUUGGCUGUUGUACGAUGUGUGGUUUGAAAUCCUUCGAGAUUUCACGGACUACCGGGAUUAUAUGGGCUUAAGCCUGAUGGUUUGACUAUGCAAAUGGUCGUUGUUAGGCUUAAUCUCUUAUAAUUUGGUCGGUUCUGUUACAGCUGGCAUCGGAGCAAGGUUUAGCGAGUUACUGUUCAUAAGUACGUUCUAAACAAAAUCUAAACCGGUCUAAUAAAGGAUUUUAUUAAUUAAUAAUGAUCAAGGUGUUAAACUAAGUUUUGGAAAACUAUCUAGUGUGCCAUGGUCAUAUCCUUUAUGCCCAGUUAAGGACUCUAAGGUGGCUAGUUAAGUACUGACUUGGGGGUUAAUGCAUCAUAUUUUUAUUUCGUCGCUCAUACGGCGUGCAAUAGUAUGAGUGCCAUUCAUUUGAGUGGUAAUGUAUGGAUCCAUUUUUCCUCUACGCCACGGUAAGUGGGAGCUGGGAGAGCAUGAUCGGAUACACUGCCGGUCUAGGGGAGUGUUGCUAGGUACUGUGUCAUGCACACAUGUUUUGGUGUGUCUUGGAAACAGUACCGCAUGUUGGGAAUUCCGUCCUGAGAGGCGAUGCCGUCAAUAGGGCGAUGAUGUGGGUAGUGACACAUCACAUGCAUGGACGGGUGUCAGUGUAUGUGAAGUGCAUAGUUUAAAAUUUUGUUUUGCAUUAUCAUACUGUGGGUGGGCUGAAGUGAGUUUUCUGCAGGUACCCUAACCACGUUCUCGCUUAGAACGCUAGUUACGUUAUGAGAGAACGUUGUGUGCCACCGCAUAUACCGCUUAGUGUUAACCUUUGUUUCUAAGUUUGUGAGAUCGUAAGUUCGUGCAUGCAUCAUGUUCAUGUCAUAUCAUUACUUACUUUCCCCCUUAAUCUAAUCUGUCCCAAUUCUAAAUAAAAUAAUUAAAGGUAAUCCUCGCUCUUACCCACGGUAUUCCAUUUGCAGCAGAUGGCACGCACUAGGCUCACCGCUCGCAAGUCCACUGGUGGGCGGGCCCCUCGCCAUCCGUUGGCAGCUAGGAGCUCACGACAUAAGAGCAAGUUCCUGGAGGAGUUUGGGAUGCCCACUUUGCUUUGGAGGGUGCUCAGUUCGAUGGGGUAUCCCGAAGGAAGGGAGCCUCGCUACUAUUGGGAUAAGGAGCCGCUUGGUGACGAGACCCUGGUGGGGAUCGAGGUAGUUGUCCCUACCAGUGGAGGAGACCCUGCUUGGGGCGGCUGGGUGUACGAGUCUCGAGGUGUCACACCUUUCCACGGUGCCAGCAGGGCAGCUUUCGCAGUUCUGAGGGACCUCAUGGAGAGGUUUCCACAGGAGCUGGCCCACGCCUUCGCUGGGGUGUUUCCCCGGGGUGACCCCUACACUUCGGUGUGGGAUCAGUCUGAGGUGAAUGCUCUAGAGAGGAGUGCGGAUGAGGACCAGCACAGUGAUGGUGCAGCUAUGAGUGCCAUGUACGCGUUGAUGAAGACCUAUGGAGGCCUGGAGCGUUGUUUGGGUCGUUUGUCCGGGUCUCUUCUCACCGUCCAGGAUGAGAAGCGUCAGUUGCAGCGUGACUUUGACUCUGAGGUUGAGAGGCUACAGGCAGAGUUGGCCCGUGUGACCACAGAGAGACCAGGCAGUCUAGAAGAACAGUGAGCUGAGCCAGGACCUGCUUGCAGUGCGAGAGCAGAGGGACAGGGUGACUACUGCUCACAGGAACUGUGAGCGCAUGCUAGUCCAUGUGCUUGGACAAAGGAAUGAAGCCUGGCAUGAGGAGGACACUUUGAGGGCCCGACAGCUAGAGCUAGAGCAGCAGCUAGCUAAUGCUGAGGAGUACAAUGAGAACUUGCAUGAGGAGAUCCACCAGCUGCAUAACCAGCUCCACCCUCACCACCUGCCUGGAGCAGCAGAGCUAGACUCUGAGGACGAGAUGGACGCGGAUCCCGAGAUCGGAGCAGCUGCAAGUGGAGAUGAGGAUGAGGAUGGCUCCGGCAUGGACAGUGACCAUAGCGAGUAGAUACUAGGGCUCUAGAGCUAGCCCUUCUUCUUGUGUUGUUGUAUGUUGCAUGGCAUGUCGUGUACUUUUGGAUCUGGGCUAUGUAAGACUUUAUGAGUAAAUGCUGAAAGUCCAGUGUAUGUAUGCUGGCAAGUUGGAUGUACGCGAAUCUUGUUGCGUGAAUGUUGAGUAAUCUGUUCGUGAUGUUGUGCGUAGAUGAUGAAUUGUUGUGACCCUGUUUAUUGUGCGAAUUUAUUCCCUCAGUAAAUUCAGUGCGGCAUGAUUCUACACAUUUCUACCGUUGCUGGCAACUCCUAACGAUUGCUUAUCAUUGACGUAUGCAGAUGGUGCAAACACGUGGCGGGGGUAACAGCAAUCCGGGCCUUGGAGCAGGUACAUCCGGAGGUGGGGCUCCACGGAAUGAGGACAGAGUACCAACACCGCCAGCACCACCACCUCCUCCAUACACCGCGGACGUGUUUUUCGCGCAGUUUCUGAGGAGCCAACGCAACAUGGAACAGAUGCAACGCAACAUGGAAGAGGCUCUGCGCAACAUAGCUGACAACACCCGUCGUGGGGAUAACCAGGGCGGCCGUGAAGUCAACCAGUACAGUUCGUUCAAGGACUUCAUGGAUACCAAGCCACCGAUCUUCAAAGAGGCUUUGGAACCGCUCGAAGCAGAUGAGUGGAUCAACACUAUGGAGCAGAAGUUUCGUCUUCUCCGAAUGAUAGAAGAACUUAAGGUUGAGUAUGCGGCGCAUCAGUUGCAAGGACCCGCCGGGAAAGCUGUGGUCCCAUCACCGUACCACCUACCCAGAGGGGACCCCAAUUACCUGGAACCGUUUCACCACAGCUUUUCGGGGAAAUUACAUUCCUCCGGGUGUGAUUGAAAUGAAGGUUGGGGAGUUCAUGAGGCUGUCCCAGGGGACGAAAUCGGUAAAGGAGUAUCUACAUACUUUCAAUAAUCUCGCUCGCUAUGCCCCUGAGUUUGUAAACACGGAGGCUAAGAAGAUUGCUAGUUUCCAGAGGAGUUGAAUCCAAAGAUGCUGAAGACCAUGGGUACAGGGGCCAGGGCUACCUUCAAUGCCUAUAUCAGUGACUGUCUGACCCAGGAGAACAAUAACAACAACUACAGCGCAUCCAAGUCACGUAAGAGGGCUUUUGAAGCCGGAUCAUCUCAGUCCAGGGCACCAGUGGUAGGGCGACAGCAGUAUCGUCCUCCUGCCCCAGGUGCUAGGUUCCGACCGCCGCAAAGAAGGAACACCGGGCAUCCAACACAGUAGAAGCCGUACAAGGUGGCGAUAGCUCCUGCCAAGCCAAAGGCAAUUCAAGCUGCCGCACCUGCCGUCAACAAUGCGCCCAAGGGUCCGUGCUAUAACUGCCACAAGAUGGGGCACUUUGCUAAGGAAUGUCCCUACCUCAAGAGGCAGCAGCCAACCUAUCCAGCUCGUGUGCACCAUACCUCGAUCGAGGAGAUCCCGGAAGGAGAACCGGUAACAGCUGGUAUGUUUCCUGUCAACCAACAUCUCGCAGUUGUUUUGUUUGAUUCUGGAUCAUCGCAUUCAUUCAUGAGCCAAGCAUUUGCACAAAAGCAUGAUCAGUCAGUUAUUGAGUUAGGUUAUGGCUAUCGCAUCAGCUCAGCCAGAGCCGAUGUGUUGACUAAUAAAACAGUAACAGGAGUUACUUUGGAUAUCAGUGGCCGGAGGUUUCGUGUAAACCUUGUGGUCAUGCCAGGACUGGUUUUGGAUGUCAUCAUUGGAAUGAACAAGAUGACUGACUGGGGCGCGGCUAUAGAUGCCGGGAAUAGAACUCUUUCCCUCAGAGACCCACAAGGGAAGGGUGUGCUUCAGGUCAAGCUACCCAGAUGGUUGGACUUCGCCAGUCUUUCGUGUGCAGUACAAGUAGUUCCACUAGAACACAUACCCGUGGUAUGUGAGUUCCCUGAUGUGUUUCCUGAGGAUUUACCAGGACUUCCCCUAGAUAGGGAAGUGGAGUUUGCAAUCGAGUUGAUACCGGGUACAGCACCUAUGUCUAGAAGGCCGUAUCGGAUGCCACCAAACGAACUCGCUGAGUUGAAGAAUCAACUAAAAGAAUUACUGGAUAAAGGGUUCAUCCGGCCAAGCUUGUCGGAAUGGGGUUGUCCAGCGUUGUUUGUGAAAAAGAAGGAUCAGUCAUUGCGCAUGUGCGUGGACUAUCGUCCACUCAAUGCAGUGACAAUUAAGAAUAAGUAUUCUUUACCAAGGAUUGACAUCCUGUUUGAUCAGUUGUCCAAGGCAAGAGUGUUUUCUAAGAUAGAUUUGAGGUCUGGAUAUCACCAAUUCAAGAUUCGUCCGCAAGAUAUCCCGAAGACUGCUUUUUCCACCAAAUAUGGGUUGUAUGAGUAUCUUGUCAUGUCCUUUGGAUUGACAAAUGCUCCUGCAUACUUUAUGUAUCUGAUGAAUUCGGUCUUUAUGCCAGAAUUGGAUAAGUUUGUUGUGGUGUUUAUCGAUGAUAUCCUGGUUUAUUCAGAAAAUGAGCAAGAUCACGCCGAACAUCUGAGAGUUGUGCUGACACGAUUACGAGAGCAUCAGUUAUAUGCCAAGUUCAGCAAGUGUGAAUUCUGGUUAAAGAGAGUUCCUUUCCUAGGGCACAUUCUGUCUGAAGAAGGGAUUGCCGUGGAUCCAUCCAAAGUGCAAGAGGUUAUGGACUGGAAGGCACCAACUUCUGUCUCGGAAGUUAGAAGUUUUCUUGGUCUGGCCGACUAUUAUCGUCGUUUCAUACCUGACUUCUCCAAGAUUGCUAAGCCAAUGACAAGUUUGCUACAAAAGGAUCAUAAGUUUGUCUAGACGGAAGGGUGUGAGUUAGCCUUCCGCACCUUGCGAAAGUUGCUAACCACUGCCCCCGUUCUGGCACAACCUAAUAUAGAAAAGCCGUUUGAUGUGUUUUGUGACGCAUCGAAGAGUGGCCUGGGGUGUGUGUUGAUGCAAGAUGGCAGGGUGAUAGCUUAUGCUUCCCGACAGUUGAGAAAGCACGAAGUCAACUACCCAACGCACGACCUCGAGUUAGCCGCAGUAGUGCACGCUUUGAAGAUUUGGAGACAUUAUCUGCUGGGAAAUAAGUGUCACAUUUAUACCGAUCAUAAGAGUUUGAAGUAUAUCUUCACUCAGUCCGAGCUAAAUAUGAGGCAACGACGGUGGUUAGAGUUAAUCAAGGACUAUGAUCUGGAAGUUCACUAUCAUCCGGGCAAGGCUAAUGUGGUAGCAGAUGCGUUGAGUCGUAAACCGCACUAUCAAGUGGUUCAACCGUUGUUUGAAGAUGGGUUCAACCUUAUGCAUCCUGAGGUCUUAUGUCACAUACAACUCAGUUGUUCACUCGAGAGUCAAGUCAUUGAAGGACAGAAAACAGACAAGGGUAUUUUCCACAUCAAAGAGAAGAUCAAAGAUGACCCAAAAACUCAAUUUCGAGUUGAUGAGAAAGGGGUACUGUGGUUUCAACAUCGGUUAGUAGUUCUGAAAGAUCGGGAAUUGAAGAAUCGCAUCAUGGAUGAAGCUCAUCUCUCUAAGCUUUCUAUUCAUCCUGGCAGUAGCAAAAUGUAUCAAGAUCUAAGACCCCACUUUUGGUGGACCAAGAUGAAGAAAGAAAUAGCCGCAUAUGUAGCCCGUUGCGACACGUGUUGCAGAGUUAAGGCCAUCCAUAUGAAGCCUGCAGGUCUGUUACAACCAUUAUCCGUUCCAGAGUGGAAAUGGGAAGAGGUCAGUAUGGACUUUAUCACGGGUUUACCAACAACAAGGAAGGGGAAUGACUCGAUUUGGGUCAUCAUGGAUCGACUGACCAAAUCGGCCCAUUUCAAUCCUGUGAAGACCCGCUACCGACCUCCUGAGUAUGCCGAUAUAUAUAUGGCUGAGAUUGUCAAGUUGCAUGGUAUUCCCAAGACCAUCAUAUCAGAUAGAGGACCGCAAUUCACCGCUCACUUCUAGGAGCGCAUGCAUAAGAGUUUGGGAACCAGUCUGAUAAGAAGCACGGCGUACCAUCCCCAGACUUCGGGUCAAACAGAAAGGCUAAACCAAGUAUUAGAAGAUAUGCUGAGGGCCUGUGUGCUAUCGUCCAAGGGAUCAUGGGAGUCAUGGCUACCUCUGGCUGAAUUCUCCUACAAUAACAGUUAUCAAGAGAGCAUCAAGAUGGCCCGGUUCGAAGCUCUGUAUGGUCGGAGAUGUAGAACUCCGUUGAACUGGGUUGAACCGGGUGAAAGAAGAUACUAUGGUAUCGACUUUGUGAAUGAGGCAGAGAAGAAGGUACAAAUCAUACAGCAGCAUAUGCAAGCAGCACAAUCACGACAAAAGAGUUAUGCCGAUAAGAGAAGGAGGCCACUUGAAUUCAAUAUAGGUGACUAUGUGUACCUCAAGGUUACGCCAAUGAAGAAAGUUCAAUGUUUCCGAGUUCGAAGCAAGCUUGCACCCAGAUAUGUGGGACCGUACCAAGUGCUGGAGAGGAAAGGCCCAGUGGCCUACAAGAUCCAGUUACCUGAAGAGUUGAGCUCGAUCUUUCCGGUCUUCCAUGUGUCGCAACUGCGGAAAUGUCUGAAGGUACCUGAACAAAGAAUUGAACCUCGAGGAAUCAAGAUAAAAGCAGACCUAGAGUAUAAAGAGCAGCCAGUGGGGAUUGUGGAUACCAAGGAGCGAGUAACCCGAAACAAAAUUGUCAGAACAUAUAAGGUGGUGUGGAGUCAUCAUGACGAUAGGGAUGCCACCUGGGAAACAGAGGAUUACUUGAAAACAGUUUAUCCAAAAUUUCAUAAGAAAUGGUUAGUAAUCCAAAAUCUCGGGACGAGAUUUCCCUAAGGGGGGAAGGGCUAUAACACCCUAGGUGUUAAGCAUGCACUUAGUCUUAUCAAAGUCAUGCAUAAGCAUUCCCAUCAAGCAUAAGCAUCAUGAGCAUGUCAUUCUUUUCAAAAUAUGAUUUUAUGUGCUUCAUUUCAUGAGUUUUAAAUAUGCUAAAAAUAUGAUGCUUGCUUCUAAAAAUGUGAAAUAUUCAAACUAGGUCGAUUUAUGUGUAAGAAGAAUUAAGAACAUUUUUGUGAAAUUUUUGGAGCUAUAGAAUUUGAGAAAUGGAAUUUAUACAAAAUAUCCAAAAUGAAUUUAUUUAAAAACCUAGAACUAGGUUUUAAUUUGUAAUUCAAAUUCUACUUAGAAUUUGGUUUUGCUUAUUAAAACAAAGUUGUAGAAAUUUUGUUUUGGAACAACUUUACUUUUGGGAGAAAAUGGUGAAAAUGAUUGGAAAAUGGUCAAAAUGAAUUUGGAAGAGCAUUUAAGAAAAGAAAUUCAAAAAAAAAGGGAAAAGGGGGCGCUAGCAGGCCGCGGCCUCACUUCUGGCCCGCUGGCCGAAGCCGGCCCGGCCCGCCCGCGCCUUCCCCUUCCCCUUCCCCUUCCCCGCGCUCGCGCUCGCGUCCGCGCGCGGACGGCCUCGCCGUGCCGCCGUGGCGCGCCGGUAGAGCCUGGCCGCCGCGUGGCGGGCAUGCGACGGCGUGGAGAAGCCCUCGUCGGCCACCAGGAGCCCCCGGUCGCGUCCGCCGAAGCCCCCACUCCCAUUUGCGCCCUCCACCUCGCGCUCUCGCCCCUCUGCUCGCUCUCGCGCAGCACUCGCCGCUCCGCCGCACGCCAUAGCCGCCGACGGCUCGGAGCUCCUCUCCCGGCCAGCUCCGGCCCUCUCCUUCCUCUUCGCGACCACCACCGGAUCCGCCUCGUCCUCCCGCGUCGCGUGCUUGCGCUCUUCCGCGCUCGGUGAGCCCCGCGUGCCUGCUAGAGCUCACCGGAGUGAGUCGGAGCUCCGGCGACCUCUCGGCUCGUACGGUUCUCCCUCUCCUCUCUGUCUCUGCUUACGUUCGUAGGUGCGUUGGAUCCGCCUUGGCCUUGCGCACCUUUUUCCGUCGUUAGCUUACGCUCUACCGCCGUGAAAAGGCCGGACCACGGCGAGCAGCGCCGCCGCGUCCGCCAUUCGCGACGGCGAGGUAGUUCCAGUGCUCGUCCGGUGCCAAAGAGGGUACGGUUGGACUCGUCUCGUUCUCGCGAAGCCGUAGGUGCUCUCGGUGUCGCCGGAAACCUCACCGGCGGCGAGAUUCCGGCUGAUCCGUGGCCGCGGAAUCACGGGGUGGAUGACAAGUGGGGUCAUCUGACCCGCGUGUCCCACCUGUCAGUGAGUCCGAGGGUUUGAACCCGGGUGCGCUUAGCGUUUUAGGUUGUUUUCCGUUUUAAAAGUAUUUUCAGAAAAUGGGUUAUGUAUUCAAAAAUCCAUAUCUUGAGGAAUAUAGCUCCAAAAAUUGUGAAAUAAAUUUUGGUGUGUUCCCUGUUUCCAGAUCUAUAGCCUAGUAUGUUUGCAUGUCAUGUUUAAGUAACUUUUCUGUAUGAAUAUACUUAAUCCAUGUUUUUGCUAAACUUGGAAAAUGCACAAUAAUUAAAAUAUGACUCAGAAAAAUAUGAAACUUGUUUUAUGGGCUUUGCAUGUAUGUUUACUCACUGGAAAAAUAUUUCUACAUAUUAUUUGGUGUAUAAAUGAAUUUAUGGUAAUUUAAAUGCUUGCAUGGCAGUGAUUUAUGAUUUUUAAUAAUUAAUUGGAUCAUGCAAUAAAUCUAGAAAAUUUUGUGGGUGUUUCUUAUGAUAUUAGACAAAUUGUAAAAAUAUGAAAUCUGUUGUUUGACACUUAUAUCACGGUAGAGUGAUUAUACUUACCCUAUAAAUUAAUCUUGUGAUUUUUGUGGCUCAAAAUAAGUAUCCAAAAAUUAUGAAAAAUUUACAGUAGACUUUAUGCUUAGCUGGUAGUCUCCUGUAAUUUUUAUGGAAAUUAUUGAUGAACAGAAUUGCAUGUGAUUUUUAAUGGGCCUAGAAAUAAAUAAAGAAAAUUAUAAAUUGUUGUAUAUAUAGGUUGGAUGGAAUAAGUUGGGUUUGGUGUAUCUUUGAAGCAUCAUGUGGGUCGCUGGUUGCAUUUGAAAAAUAAUUAUAGAAGAGAAUGCAAUAGAUGUUUGAUUCAGUUAAUUGCUCUUGGAGGUUGUUGACUACCUUGUAAUGAGCAUGACCAAGCAUAUCACUUAUGCGUCAUGUCAUGACUCCUUUAGUACCUUCUCAUACAAGCAUCCACUCGGGCAUCUCGCACUCCACUCAUAAGCACACCUGCAUCAUACAGGCUCGCAGGAGAACGAAGUGGGACCCGAGGAGCCAAAGGAGAUUCAGGAGCAGGAACCUCCGGAAGCACAGGAACCCGGAGAGGAACUGCAGGAGUGUCCAGAUCACCGACCCAACACAUUUGAGAAAGGCAAGCCCCGAAGCAUUCUAAAUCUCCCUAUUCUCGCUAACUUAUACAAAGCACUAUACUUGUUCUACUAUAUUGCAUUUAAGUGAUAGGAAUUGCUUGAUACCGUUGAUGCAUAUGUACUCCUUGUUACCCUUACGCGUUCACCUACCUUGUCCUAUGUAGAUAGGCACGGAGUCUAUGCUUAGCUUGCUUAGUCCGGUAGAAGUCGGGUGAUUUCCUGUCACCUGCGAGAUAUAGGUGGUUACCUGCUUGAUUAAGCAUGGAUUGCUUGGGGAAAAGAAUAACCAAGUGUGGAAUGUAACUGGAGACCGGGCAGGGUCUUAUAGUGGGUUGACCAUAGUGCCCCUGCCUGUGUCGAUUAAGGACCGAUCGUUGACGGACCUCUUGUCAUGUUGAACGCAUGCCCCACAUUUAGCUGGAAGGAUAAGUCGUUCCGACCGCGAAGCUUGAGCACUAUCCGGACCGGGAAUCGGCCCGAUGUACGCGCUGUAUUGGUGAUGGUUGAGGAGAACGACGAGGGCGCGGCACGCAACCUUGGUAUACCUUGGAUACCUCGGUCGCCGAAACGGUCCUCGGGUACUGGCGGUGCCUGUCGAACCCGCGAAUUGGUCCUGGAUAGUGCAAUACGGUGACCUGUAGCUCACUUGAUCAGUGAGUGUGGUUUGUGUGGGGAAUAAACUCGCCAGCUGGUUAGAAAUCGAUUCGAAUCGCCAUCGCUCCUGGAUAGUGAGCACUUGACAUGAGCCCUGUCCUCGUAGUAAGGACUAUGGAACACUUGGGUUAUAAUGAUGAAUGGUUAUAAGAAAUGCUAUGAUGAGGUACUAUCAUAGUCUUAUACUUGCUUGUAAUAGUGCAGGUGCAAACCUAGAUGAUAGGUAAUGAUACUUUCAACUUGAGCAAAUUAAAAGAAGAAAGACUUAUGUAGGUUAUGAUAAUAAAAUCCUGCGGUUUUGCAAAGUGGUUGUCAGCUACCCCACUAUAUAGCCUUCAUGAUCCUUGAUGAGUCUUUAUUUUAAGUUUAUGACGGGUAAGUCUAGCUGAGUACCUUCUCGUACUCAGGGUUCUACUCCCAUGUUGUUUUGCAGAUGGUCAAAUGUACUUUGGUUAUUGCAUCCUCUGUCUGUACCCAGCCAUGGGUGAUGACUAGACCAAGGGCGAUGGUCACUCCAUCUCUUCUUUUGCUUUGGAGGGAAUGACCAAACUAUGGCACUGUAUCAGACUAAGCGCGUGUGUUGUAUUUUCGAACUAUGAAGCUUCCGCUACUUGAAGAACUUGGUUUGUAAUAACUUUAAGUACUCCGAUGUAUUUUAUAAACGUUGUAACCUGGGUGUAAUUGUGGAUGGCGACCGCUAAACUUAUUACGAUCUUGGCUGUUGUACGAUGUGUGGUUUGAAAUCCUUCGAGAUUUCACGGACUACCGGGAUUAUAUGGGCUUAAGCCUGAUGGUUUGACUAUGCAAAUGGUCGCUGUUAGGCUUAAUCUCUUAUAAUUUGGUCGGUUCUGUUACAGCUCUGGAAUAUUUGGAAGACGAGGAAGCAGAUGAGGAACCAGAGGAAGAUCCAGAAAUGACAGUCAUGAUGAAGAAGGAUGAGGACACAGUGAUGGAGAAAAAGGAAGACUCAGACGUGGAGAUGCUAGAUGCCCCACCCCCUGGGUUCACUGCCACAAAAAAGAAAAAGACUCUCAAAAUCAAAGAAAAACUGGAUGAUGAGUUUCUGAGGCGCAGCAAGAGAGUCUCCCAGAAGCUCGGAGGAUUCAAGAAUGAAGAAAGUGCUAAAAAGCAUAAAGAGGAGCAGAAAGGCAUCAAGACUCCUAGGGAGGCACAGAAGAACAAGAAAACCAAGGCUUCUAAGAAGGGGAAGAAACUAGAAGUUGGAGACAAUGCCCUGGAAGAAGACCCCAUCCCCCUUGCUGUUAGCCCACCGGAGGGGGCUCCCCACCUCCCCAAACAUGUACUCGAAGGCAUUGGGGAGGGCUUCCUGCAGAUACAACCUUCGGUCGUGUCUGCUGCACUGCUGGACAAUGACGACCUCGAUGAAUAGAACCCCCAAGAAGUUGGUUGUAGGGCCAUCCAUAGCUAUGGUCUCUUUUGCUUUCUGUUUCGCUUUUGUUGUUCCUAGCCAGUGUAUGUAUUGGCCCAAUAACCACACAAGAUGUAACCGGUGUCUCAUGUCUUUGUGGAACGUGUGGAAACUGAACCUUCUUAUCCAUCGUUUAUUGUUCAAAGUUUACUCAGGUGGCCCUUUUGUCCCUUUCAGAGCUUUAGAUCUGUUCCACUUAAUGUAUCUAUUUGCACUCUGUCUGUUUGACAUUUGCAUGUCCAAACUAACUCCCCCCCACCCGUUGGUAUCCAUGAACAACGAAAGUAACAAUAACAGAUCCAUCAAAAUCCUUUUUUGGAACAUUAGAGGACUUAACUCGCAAGAAAAAUGGGAUGCAGUUAGAGAUAAAAUCAGUGAAAGUGCUUGUCAAGUUUUAUGCUUACAGGAAACUAAGAGGGAAACUUUCGACUAUUUCUAUAUCAAGAGAUUUUGUCCUAAACCUCUGGAUCAGUUUGCUUUCUUCCCAUCGGUUGGAGCCUCUGGAGGUCUCCUCACUGUUUGGAAUAGUAGUAUCUUUGUUGGCUCCAUUGUUCAAAUGAAUUCCUAUGCUAUCACUGUCAAACUAGUAUGCAAACUAGAUAACAAGACUUUUCAUGUCACCAACAUUUAUGGACCUGCAAAUCCUGCCCAGAAGCUUGGGUUUGUCACCUGGCUAAUAAACUUAGAUUCUUCUGAAUUUGAUGACUGGGUACUAGGGGGAGAUUUCAACCUGAUCAGAAACCCAGAGAAGGAACAAGCCAGGUGGAGACAUGGGCGAAAUGAACAUGUUUAAUGAACUUAUCUGUGACCUUGAUCUUGUGGACAUCCCUUUUAGUGGCAGAAAUUUCUCCUGGAGCAACAUGCAGGCUGAUCCCCUCUUGGUCAAACUAGACUGGGUCUUCACUAAUUCCAGCAGGACCCUGUCCCACCCGACAACCUUUGUGCAACCUCUAUCAAGACCCAUCUCAGAUCAUAUUCCUUAUGUUCUGCAUAUGUUCUGAUUUGAAAAUUUUUGGAUAGAACACCCUGGUUUCAUGGACAUUGUAAAACUACACUGGGAUAAUUCCCCUGUCUAUGCAAAUGCAGCCAAAAACCUUUCUAGUAAGUUGAAACAGGUCAGAAGUGGCUUAAGGAAAUGGAGCAAAUCCUUGUCGAACCUGAACAAACUUAUUUUCAACUGUAACUGGGUUCUUUAGCUCCUGGAUGGUCUAGAAGACCAAAGGAACCUUUCCAGACUAGAAAAUUCCUUAAGAAGAUUGGUCAAACAUCAUCUCUCCCAGUUGCUUGACUCCAAGAGAAAAUACUGGAAACAGAGAAGGUCAAACAUCAUCUCUCCCAGUUGCUUGACUCCAAGAGAAAAUACUGGAAACAGAGAAACACCAUAAGAUGGGUUAAGUUUGGUGAUGAAAACACACAGUUCUUCCACUCCCUAGCUACCAUCACUCACAAACGAAACUUCAUAGUCUCUCUAUCUAAUGGUGAGGGUGACCUUAUAACAGACCACGAACAAAAGGCCAUCCUCAUUUGGAAUGCUUUCAGAGAGAGACUUGGAGUCAGUGAUUUUGAAGGUAUUAGCUAUGAGGUUGGAGAACUCCUUCAAGAACAUGACCUAACAGAACUGGAUGUUGAGUUCUCGAAUGAAGAGAUGGACACAGUCAUCAAAACCCUUCCCAACAAUCAUGCCCCUGGACCAGAUGGUUUCAAUGGGUGUUUCAUCAAGAAAUGUUGGAAUAUAAUUAAAGAAGAUUUCUCUAGGACAAUGAAGGAUUUCUGCAACUUUAACACAGACCUAAGCAGUAUCAACACUUCCCUCAUUGUCCUCAUUCCAAAAAAGGACAAUGCUGAAACGGUCAAUGAUUAUAGGCCAAUCUCCCUUCUAAAUUAUUCUCUGAAAUGCAUAACCAAGAUCCUCUCCUCCAGACUACAGUCAAAGAUUCUGCAACUUGUUCACACUAAUCAGUAUGGCUUCAUCAAAGGAAGAACCAUCCAUGACUGCCUUGCUUGGUCCUUUCAAUUCCUUCACCUUUGCCAUCACUCGAAAAAGGAGAUUAUCAUCCUGAAAUUAGACUUUGAGAAGGCUUUUGACAGAGUAGAGCACCAGGCUAUUCUGGAGAUCUUAAAGCAUAAAGGCAUUUCUGAGAAAUGGGUAAGUUGGCUUCAGAACCUCCUAAGUACUGCCAGCUCUGCUGUUCUCCUAAAUGGUAUACCAGGAAAGAAUUUCAAAUGCAAAAGGGGAGUAAGACAAGGAGAUCCCCUCUCUCCCCUUCUCUUUGUUCUAGCAGCUGACCUUCUCCAGUCCAUCAUAAAUAAAGCUUGGCAAGCUGGCAGCCUAAAGCAUCCUCUCAGUGAUGACUUCCAAGAUGAUUUCCCUAUUGUGCAGUACGCUGAUGAUACCCUCCUCAUCCUCCCUGGUGACGCCAGAUCUCUUUUCUGUCUGAAAGGACUACUAAGAUCUCUCGCUGACUCGACUGGACUGCACGUUAACUUUGACAAAUCCUUUAUGGUGCCAAUCAAUAUGAGUCUAGAAAGAGUCACUCACCUAGCCAAUACAUUUGGCUGUCAGGUUGGAGAAAUGCCGUUCACAUAUCUCGGACUCCCUCUUGGAACGACAAAACCAUCUAUCACCGAAUUUGCCCCCCUCAUUACCAAAAUGGAAAGAAGACUCACAGGUAUCAGCAAAUUCCUGUCCUACAAUGCCAGACUUAUAUUAGUGAACUCUGUCUUCUCUGCCUUACCAACAUUUUACAUGUGCACCACAAAGCUGCCCCCAGUAGUUAUCAAGCAAAUUGAUAUCUACAGAAAACAUUGCCUUUGGGACAAAGGAGAAAUAAAUAGGAAAGGAAAAUGUCUAGUAGCUUGGGAGACUGCCUGUAAACCCAAAGAUCAAGGGGGCCUGGGUAUCAUUGACAUUCAGAAACAAAAUGAAGCCCUGUUACUAAAAUUCUUAGAUAAAUUUUAUAACAGAGCAGAUCUACCAUGGGUCAAGCUAACAUGGAGCAAACUGUAUGCAAAUGAGUCCAUUCCUCCACAUGCAAGAAGCCCUGUCGGCUCCCCCUGGUGGAAAGACAUAAUGAAACUCUUUCCAAUUUUCCAAAAUAUCUCCAUUUGCACACCCAAUAAAGGAAACUCAAUUCUCCUUUGGUCAGACAAUUGGAUGGAUCAAACAGCAAAGGACACAUUUCCACAACUUUAUUCCUUCACUAGAAAACCCAAAUGCUCCAUAAAGCUCUUCCUCAACCAACCAUUGGAGUUUUUAUUCAGUCCCCUACCUCUACCGCCUAUUGCUGCAGAUCAGCUUGAGGAACUUCAAACUAUCAUACACAACAGACACUGGGACGUGAACCUCAAUGAUAUCUGGUCCUACAAUUGGGGAACUUCAAACUACAGCAGUAAGAAAGCCUAUGCCCUUUUCAUCAAAUCUACCCCUGACUAUCCACUCUUCAAAUGGCUCUGGAAAUCAGGCAACCUGGGAAACCAUAAAUUCUUCUUCUGGUUGCUGUUGAGGGAUCGUCUGAACACCAGGAACCUCCUAUGCAGAAAACACAUGCACCUGGAUGACUAUACAUGUUUGAUGUGCUCUCAGGGGUGCGAAGAGACCAGUUUUCACUUAUUUUUUGAAUGCAGCUUCAGUAAAGAAUGUUGGGAGACAAUCCCCAUUUCCUGGGACUUCAACCUCAAUCCUGUGGACAUGAUUGUACGAGCAUGCUUACAAUUUGGCAACCCCAUCUUUAGAGAAAUCCUCAUUACUGCCUGCUGGAUCAUCUGGAACACAAGAAAUGGCAUUAUAUUUGACCAUGGUCAGAAGAAUAUACAUGUAUGGAAACAACAGUUCAGAGAGGAAAUUGCUUUAGUUUGUAACAAAGCAAGACCCAGUGUUAGCUCUGCCCUUAGUAGCUGGAGAGAGUCUUACUUGUAACAUUCUUGAUUUUUCUGUUUUGGGCGUGCGGCCCUGUAAUCUUUGGCUCCUGAUUUUGUAACGAUUCCUUUAUUUAUAUUGAAAUACAAAAAAAAGGGGUGGGAAGCUCCCCCACCAUUUCAUCAAAAAAAAAAACAUGCCAGGCAACACAUUAAUAAUUUCUCCCUACUGUUCCAGAAGCAAGCAAAAAGCCAGCAGCAAGGAAUAUUCAGCUAUAGCUCAAGAAAAGGUCUUAAUUCUUUACUAAGAAAAGGUCUUGAUUCUUUACUAAGACAAGGCAAGAAAUUAUUUCAGUAGAAGAAAAUGUUGCUUGUCAAUGUUGUUGUAAGUUCAAAUUUUAGAUUUGUGAUACAAGUUAAAAGGUUACCGAAUUAAGUGGAAAAUAUGAAUUAUUAGAGUGGUGCUAGCUGCAAAACCUAAAUGGUCACUCUAAUUAAGUGCGAUAUAGGUUUUUUCCUAAUAAUACAAUACUCUAAUUUUGCCAUGCUAAGAGAUUAAAUACAUUGACUACACUGAGUAUAACUAGUAUAUUGCCCGUGCUAACGCUACGGCGACUGUUCAAUUAUGUUCAAAUUAAAACCAGGUCUCUUUGACAUAGAGGCCACCAAUUUAAUUAAGAGAUGAUCAGUAGAUCACUCAAAACAUUGCCUAUAUUUUGACCUUGGUUAUUACAGUCCACAAGACCUCACACAGCUGCCUCAGAUCCGCGCGCCAACAGACCUCACAUCGAGGCAUUGCCGCUCCAUGGUGCAUCAGCUAGCGCCGCCGGUCACCGCGGCUCAGCCAUACACGCCGCACCCCGCCUUCUCCGCCUGCUACGCAGGCCACACCUUGCCUAGCCACGGGCUGCCGCGGCGUCGACGCCUCAGCCUAGCCCUAGCGCGCAGGUUAGCAACGUGUUGGCAGCGACGGUGGCCUCCCCAGCUUCGCGCCCCAUCCGCCACGGCUCCCCACGACCAGAAAAGCAGCAACAUUCAUUAAGUAAACUUAAAGUUAGUGCAGGGAGAGGGACCAUACCUUCAAGGUUGAUCUCCAUAUUUGUGCUGUGAGCUUCAAGUUGGUAAUGACAACAGCCUUCGUGAAAUGUGUCAAUGCUGCCAAAGAUAACAUAAUCACCAAGCUGCUAUACCAACGAUGUGUAAAAAAAUGUUCUCCGAACUAUCUAGACACAGAAACAACAAUAGCUACUGAAACACUGAAACUGAAACUAAGAAUAAGUGCUACUGUCGAACACUGUCAGAGCAAGAGAGUUAAUCAACUCAAAGUUUCAAUUGCAGCACAGAAUCACUAAAUUAAUAAGGUAAUGCAAAUUAAAAUAUGCAAAUGAUUACUUGGAGAAUAAUGACAGUAGCAAGAAAGUCUGAACCUUUGGUGAAAAGGUGCUACAAAUUACCUGCUUGCCUGAUGGACUGCUUCUUUCUCCCAUCAUUGCUCCCUGCCGAGGUGACCAGGACAUGCUGCAAAUGGAUUAAUGUGCUGCUGAACGGAACAAGUUACACAACUGUUAAACUUAAGAACUACUACAACAUAUCCAGAGAAUAAAUUAGACAAGAUAUUCAGGGAAGCACAAGUUGCAUCAGCAAGCACCGAAGAAAAGAAUACCUGUACCUGAUCGCUGAUCCACUGUCAAGAAGAAAAGGCGCCAUCCCCUGGCCCAUAAGCCAUCGUUUGGAUCUCCAGUGCUCCUCGUCCUCCAUGGCCACGCCCCCGG